rnacentral:rRNA from 1 species
UACGGAGGGUGCAAGCGUUAAUCGGAAUUACUGGGCGUAAAGCGUGCGUAGGCGGUUCGUUAAGUCUGCUGUGAAAGCCCCGGGCUCAACCUGGGAAUGGCAAUGGAUACUGGCAGGCUGGAGUAUGGUAGAGGAAGGUGGAAUUCCCGGUGUAGCAGUGAAAUGCGUAGAGAUCGGGAGGAACACCAGUGGCGAAGGCGGCCUUCUGGACCAAUACUGACGCUCAUGCACGAAAGCGUGGGGAGCAAACAGG